GACGUAGGAGGCGAGCGUUGUCCGGAUUCAUUGGGCGUAAAGAGCGCGUAGGCGGCUUGGUAAGUCGGAUGGGAAAUCCCGAGGCUCAACCUCGGGUCUGCAUCCGAUACUGCCCGGCUAGAGGUAGGUAGGGGAGAUCGGAAUUCCUGGUGUAGCGGUGAAAUGCGCAGAUAUCAGGAGGAACACCGGUGGCGAAGGCGGAUCUCUGGGCCUUACCUGACGCUCAGGCGCGAAAGCUAGGGGAGCGAACUGG
rnacentral:rRNA from 1 species